UUUACAGAGUUUGAUAUUACAGCAACAUGUAUUUGUUUGAGUUUUGUGCGCUUCGCUGUCCACUGCUUCUGACGCACCAAUUCAGCGCAUUUUCCAGCAGAGAUCGUUGUGAGAUCGCAGGUCGGGAGAAUGACAGCUCGAGUGUAUUUCUCGUUGAUUGCUGUUUUGUUGUGUCUGUUUGGAUACUUGAGCAUAACUCACGCUAUUCAAAGAUGAACCACAGUGGAUGGUUUUUGUCUGGAGAGGCUGACGGUUGUGCCAUCCCGUCGAGGAUGUUCUUCUGAUGAAGACUGCCCUGGAGGACACAAAUGCUGUCGAUUUGACUGUGGGCCUGUUUGUGUGCUGCCUGUUUUCAUGAAGCCGGGUCAAUGUCCCCUACCAGAGAUGAUUCCACUGUGUGCUGAAAGCUGUUUCCAUGAUGGCCAGUGUCCUGCCACACAGAAAUGUUGCCCAACAACCGGUGGCUUUGCAUGCAGUGAACCACGUGGUCAGGGAAGAGGUCAGGCAAGUUGCCAGGGAAGCGGCCAGGGCAUCGGACAGGGCCAGGGAAGCGGCCAGGGCAUCGGACAGGGUCAGGGAAGGGGCCAGGGCAUCGGUCAUGGUCAGGGAAGGGGCCAGGGCAUCGGUCAUGGUCAGGGAAGCGGCCAGGGCAUCGGACAGGGAAGCGGUCAUGGCCAGGACAUCGGUCAUGGUCAGGGAAGCGGACAGGGCAUCGGUCAUGGUGUAA